ACGGCUCAGUAACACGUAGGUAACCUACCCUUCGGACGGGCACAACCCCGGGAAACUGGGGCUAAUUCCCGAUAGGUACCCCCUUCUGGAAUGUGGGGAUAUCCAAAGCUCCGGCGCCGAAGGAUGGGCCUGCGGCCGAUUAGGUUGUUGGCGGGGUAACAGCCCACCAAGCCGACGAUCGGUACGGGCAGUGAGAGCUGUAGCCCGGAGAUGGGGACUGAGACAAGGCCCCAGGCCCUACGGGGCGCAGCAGGCGCGAAACCUUCACAAUGCACGAAAGUGUGAUGAGGGUACUCCGAGUGCGCAUACAUUGUAUGUGCUUUUCUGCAGCGUAAAUAGUUGCAGGAAUAAGGGCUGGGCAAGACCGGUGCCAGCCGCCGCGGUAACACCGGCAGCCCUAGUGGUGGCCGCUUUUAUUGGGCCUAAAGCGUCCGUAGCCGGACAGGCGAGUCUUUGGGUAAAUCCUACGUCUUAAGCGUGGGAAUUCUAAAGAUACUACCUGUCUUGAGGCCGGGAGAGGCUGGAGGUACUCCUGGGGUAGGGGUAAAAUCCUAUAAUCCUGGGGGGACCACCGAUGGCGAAGGCAUCCAGCUGGAACGGGCCUGACGGUGAGGGACGAAACCCAGGGGAGCGAGCCGGAUUAGAUACCCGGGUAGUCCUGGGCGUAAAUGAUGUGGGCUUGGUGUGAGCGCAUCGACGAGGUGCGCUUGUGCCGUAGGAAGCCGUUAAGCCCACCGCCUGGGAGUACGGUCGCAAGGCUGAAACUUAAAGGAAUUGGCGGGGGAGCAC
rnacentral:rRNA from 1 species